rnacentral:rRNA from 1 species
CGUACACUCCUACGGGAGGCAGCAGUGGGGAAUAUUGCACAAUGGGCGCAAGCCUGAUGCAGCGACGCCGCGUGGGGGAUGACGGCCUUCGGGUUGUAAACUCCUUUCGCUAGGGACGAAGCUUUUUUGUGACGGUACCUAGAUAAGAAGCACCGGCUAACUACGUGCCAGCAGCCGCGGUAAUACGUAGGGUGCGAGCGUUGUCCGGAAUUACUGGGCGUAAAGGGCUCGUAGGUGGUUUGUCGCGUCGUCUGUGAAAUUCUGGGGCUUAACUCCGGGCGUGCAGGCGAUACGGGCAUAACUUGAGUGCUGUAGGGGUAACUGGAAUUCCUGGUGUAGCGGUGAAAUGCGCAGAUAUCAGGAGGAACACCGAUGGCGAAGGCAGGUUACUGGGCAGUUACUGACGCUGAGGAGCGAAAGCAUGGGUAGCGAACAGGAUUAGAAACCCCAGUAGUCCC